UACGAAGGGUGCAAACGUUGCUCGGAAUUACUGGGCGUAAAGCGCACGUAGGCGGACUAUUAAGUCAGGGGUGAAAUCCCGGGGCUCAACCCCGGAACUGCCUUUGAUACUGCUAGUCUCGAGUCCGGAAGAGGUGAGUGGAAUUCCGAGUGUAGAGGUGAAAUGCGUAGAUAUCCGGAGGAAUACCAGUGGCGAAGGCGGCACGCUGGGCCAUAACUGACGCUAAGACGCGAAAGCAUGGGUAGCGAACGGG
rnacentral:rRNA from 1 species